rnacentral:lncRNA from 1 species
AAACAAGUUCAAAGUUGAACAGCAUCGAGGACCAAAAGUUCAAAAAAGUUGUGCCGAAAACGGCCAGGGUUUUCUGUUAGGUACCAGAACAUCCCUAUUAUUUAGAAUAAUUUAUACUUUUGCAAACAGUAAAUUUUAUAAAAUGACUUUACAAAAGAUGAACAUGAUAAAACUGAAGUAUUAAAUAAUUACAGGAAACAACCG